rnacentral:rRNA from 1 species
CCUACGGGAUGCAGCAGUGGGGAAUAUUGCACAAUGGGGGGAACCCUGCUGCAGCAAUGCCGCGUGGGUGAAGAAGCACUCCGGUGCGUAACGCCCUGUCAGCAGGGAAGAAAAUGACAGUACCUGAACAAGAAGCACCGGCUAACUACGUGCCAGCAGCCGCGGGAAUACGUAGUGGGCAAGCGUUAUCCGGAGUUACUGGGUGUAAAGGGAGCGCAGGCGGCGUGGCAAGGCAGAGGUGAAAGCCCGGGGCCCAACCCCGGGAGUGCAUUGGAAACUGGCAUGCUGGAGUGCCGGAGAGGUAGGCGGAAUUCCUGGUGUAGCGGUGAAAUGCGUAGAUAUCAGGAGGAACACCGGUGGCGAAGGCAGCUCACUGGACUGCAACUGACGCUGAUGCUCGAAAGUGUGGGGAGCAAACAGGAUUAGAUACCCCUGUAGUC